rnacentral:rRNA from 1 species
AUUGAACGCUGGCGGCAGGCUUAACACAUGCAAGUCGAACGAGUGGCGGACGGGUGAGUAAUGCCUGGGAAACUGGCUCAUGGAGGGGGAUAACUACGGGAAACUGUAGCUAAUACCGCGUACCAUAGGAUGAGCCCAGUUGGGAUUAGGUAGUGGGUGGGGUAAAGGCUCACCAAGCCGACGAUCCCUAGCUGGUCUGAGAGUAUGACCAGCCACACUGGAACUGAUACACGGCCCAGACUCCUACGGGAGGAAGCAGUGGGGAAUAUUGCGCAAUGGGGGCAAUCCUGACGCAGCCAUGCCGCGUGAAUGAAGAAGGCCUUCGGGUUGUAAAGUCCUUUCAGCGGGGAGGCGUUACCGGAAGAAGAAGCACCGGCUAACUCCGUGCCAGCAGCCGCGGUAAUUC